AGCAGUCGCCGCGGUAAUACGAGGGGGGCAAGCGUUGUUCGGAAUUAUUGGGCGUAAAGGGCGCGUAGGCGGUUUGGCAAGUUUGGUGUGAAAUCUUCGGGCUCAACUCGAAGUCUGCACCGAAAACUGCCGGGCUUGAGUAUGGGAGAGGUGAGUGGAAUUUCCGGUGUAGCGGUGAAAUGCGUAGAUAUCGGAAGGAACACCUGUGGCGAAAGCGGCUCACUGGACCAUUACUGACGCUGAGGCGCGAAAGCUAGGGGAGCAAACAGGAUUAGAUACCCCAGUAGUCCCUGUCUCUUAUAA
rnacentral:rRNA from 1 species